rnacentral:rRNA from 1 species
UACAGAGGGUGCAAGCGUUGUUCGGAAUUAUUGGGCGUAAAGCGCGUGUAGGCGGCUUUGCAAGUCGGGUGUGAAAGCCCUCAGCUCAACUGAGGAAGUGCGCCCGAAACUGCAGAGCUUGAGUGCCGGAGAGGGUGGCGGAAUUCCCCAAGUAGAGGUGAAAUUCGUAGAUAUGGGGAGGAACACCGGUGGCGAAGGCGGCUCACUGGCUCAUAUCUGACGCUCAGGCGCGACAGCGUGGGGAUCAAACAG